GUCUGAGUAUUUGAGAGGAGGCAGGAUUCCAAGCCCAGAAGCAACCCCUACCCAGCAGCUCUCAGAGCUGAUGUAGAAGGUCAAACCAAUAAGGGUGCCUAUUACCAAGGAGUCCUCUGAUGAUUACUGAGAAGCUUAACCCUUCUCUAUUACCCUAGACUCAGACCUCUCUGCCCAUCCUUCUAAGAAUGACAGUUUCUGGCUCAGUUCUGAGCAGAUGGCCUUCCUGUCAUUUCCCCCUGGCAGAAGCAUCUGCUUUAGGCCUGGUGAAAAUGGGUAAGAGUCUGGAGAAAUACAGCCUAAGGGAGCCCCUGAACACUCCACAGGUCAAUGAUGAGUCCUUCAUCCCUCCCGAGACCACCACUCACUCUUUUCAUCUGCCGAGACCAGGGUUUGGACCACAGGACACCUGCACACUUCCUGCUCAUGAAGUUUAACCAUCCAUGAACUGUUGACGAUCAUCACCAGGACAUUCCCGAACAUCAUCAGAGCCAUUUGUCGUACCUUAUUUAGCAGGACUAAAUAAAAUAUGAGCCUCAGCGUGAUGGAUUUCUGAUGUUGCAUUUUGUCCAGGAGGAAAAAGGCAGGAAGACCAGCGGAAGCCUUGAGCAGGGCCUUUGGCAGCGUUCACAGUGGGCUGCAUGAAAGUCACCUAGGAUCUUCUGGGAGAGCUGGCUUUGGGGGUCUUCUCAGCAGCACAUGCAGGUUCUCUAUUUCUUAAGCAUUUCACAACUAAUACUUGGGUGUGCUAUGCUGGGUUUUUGGUUUUUUUUUAAGAUUGGCCCUGAGCUGGGGCCACCCCAUGGCUGAGUGGUUAAGUUUGC
rnacentral:lncRNA from 1 species